CCUACGGGUGGCAGCAGUGGGGAAUAUUGGACAAUGGGGGGAACCCUGAUCCAGCCAUGCCGCGUGUGUGAAGAAGGCCUUUUGGUUGUAAAGCACUUUAAGCGAGGAGGAGGCGCUCUAGGAUAAUACCCUAGAAGCGUGGACGUUACUCGCAGAAUAAGCACCGGCUAACUCUGUGCCAGCAGCCGCGGUAAUACAGAGGGUGCGAGCGUUAAUCGGAUUUACUGGGCGUAAAGCGCGCGUAGGUGGCUAAUUAAGUCAAAUGUGAAAUCCCCGAGCUUAACUUGGGAAUUGCAUUCGAUACUGGUUAGCUAGAGUAUGGGAGAGGAUGGUAGAAUUCCAGGUGUAGCGGUGAAAUGCGUAGAGAUCUGGAGGAAUACCGAUGGCGAAGGCAGCCAUCUGGCCUAAUACUGACACUGAGGUGCGAAAGCAUGGGGAGCAAACAGGAUUAGAUACCCUGGUAGU
rnacentral:rRNA from 1 species